rnacentral:rRNA from 1 species
CAGAGGUCCCAAGCGUUGUUCGGAUUCACUGGGCGUAAAGGGUGCGUAGGUGGUCGGGUAAGUCUGAUGUGAAAUCUCCGAGCUUAACUCGGAAAUGGCAUUGGAUACUAUUCGGCUAGAGGGUUUGAGGGGGGACUGGAAUACUUGGUGUAGCAGUGAAAUGCGUAGAUAUCAAGUGGAACACCAGUGGCGAAGGCGAGUCCCUGGAAAACUCCUGACACUGAGGCACGAAAGCUAGGGGAGCAAACAGGAUUAGAUACCCUGGUAGUCCUAGCUGUAAACGGUGCAUAUUUGCUGUAAAAGGAAUCGACCCCUUUUGUGGCGUAGCAAACGCGUUAAAUAUGCCGCCUGGGAAGUACGGUCGCAAGAUUA